AUUUAACGCUUGCGGCAGGCCUAACACAUGCAAGUCGAACGAGUGGCGGACGGUUUAGUAAUGUCUGGGAAACUGCCUGAUGGAGGGGGCUAACUACUGGAAACGGUAUCUAAUACCUCAUACCAUCAUAUGUGCCCAGAUGUGAUUAGCUUGUUGGUGGGGUAACGGCUCACCAAGGCGACGAUCCCUAGCUGGGCUGAGAGGAUGACCAGCCACACUGGAACUGAGACACGGUCCAGACUCCUACGGGAGGCGGCAGUGGGGAAUAUUGCACAAUGGGCGAAAGCCUGAGGCAGCCAUGCCGCGUGUAUGAAGAAGGCCUUCGGGUUGUAAAGGACUUUCAGCGGGGAGGCGUUACCCGCAGAAGAAGCACCGGCUAACUCCGUGCCAGCAGCAGCGGUAAUAC
rnacentral:rRNA from 1 species